GUUCAUGUAAUCAGACUAAUUUGACACAGGUUCGAAUAGUUAAGAUAAGCGUGUGUGUGCAUGCUAUUCUAAAGCAGCCAGAGGAGGUCGAACACAGAUCAAAUCAAUACACUGUGGUAAACAGCAGCGGUAAAGAGAGAACAGUGAUGUUCACAGCCACCGAGCAGCACUGACGACUAGAAACAUACGUAGAAUUCAAAUAACUAAUAAUAACCGAACACACACAAAACCAGAGAAAAAGCCUGAAGGUGUUCAUAAUCCUCCCAUGGUCUCUGGCUUCCUGCCUCACCAGCUCAGCUCUCUCUGCCUGCUGCCCUCCACCGUGAAGUCGGCCUCAGCUUUCCCAAACGAAACUGCACUUAAACAAGUCAACGUGCUAACAUUUGCUAAUCAUCAAGCUGAUGGGACUGUGAUCAGUUGUACAAGUCAUUACAGUCCACUCUCCAGAGACCACGCACGUCUGUACAAAAUUUCCUGGUAAUCCAUCUUACAGUGAAACGGUGGACGAACUGACUGACUGCCAUCCCGAGAGGUUUGCUGGCCACGGCUGAUACGUAAACACUGUUAUCCCAAAAUGUGAACCGCUGCUGUGCUUAUCUGUGGGAUGUCUUCUUACCCCUGUGACGAUGUUUUUCCUACGAAAUUCUGGGAAAAACGGAAAUGUCAAAGAAAUGACUGUUCAGACUAACCAGCCACAUGACGGCCAGCUGAUAUGUUGUCGCCAGCUUGUCUUCAAAGGCACAAAUCUCUUCCCACAUUGAAAAACAAUGCAGCUUAAUAAGGUCAGCAUUUCCAAGUGAAGUGUGAACGGUGGCAGAUGUAUAAUCAGGCCUGCAAAAAGUAUUGCAUCCAAUCUGUCCAGGCUAGUGGGUCACUAGAACACUACAGUAUAUGAUUCAAUAGGAUGUGACCUGCAGUGGGAUAAUGUGACAUCUGCAGGAAGAGAGGAGGGCUAAUUUUUGAACAGCAGUUCAAACCACAACUCUGAAUCCCUGCUGAGGCAUCGAUGCACUUCUACUGCAUGAGGUCUCUCAGCCUGCACCUGGCAGAUACAAAUUACAAGCAUUACAAUAACCUUAAAAUAUUCCCACUGAAGUGACCGUGGCUCUAUCCCAUUACAACUGGAAUUACAACUUGUACGAUAAUCGCAAAGGAAUAAUAUGUUACUACUUUCUCAUGGGAAGCAGUCGGUAAAGCAGGGAUGAGUGAGAGAAAAAAAUCAGCUCAUACUGACUGGACUUCUUUUCUCUAACAGAGUGAGAAAUGUGGUCCUAAAAUAAUAAAAACCACAUUUCAUUGUA